rnacentral:lncRNA from 1 species
GGGGAGUUCCCGUCGUGGCGCAGUGGUUAAUGAAUCCGACUAGGAACCAUGAGGUUGCGGGUUCGAUCCCUGCCCUUGCUCAGUGGGUUAACGAUCCGGCGUUGCCGUGAGCUGUGGUGUAGGUUGCAGACGCGGUUCGGAUCCCGCGUUGCUGUGGCUCUGGCGUAGGCCUGUGGCUACAGCGUCGAUUCGACCCCUAACCUGGGAACCUCCAUAUGCCACGGGAGAGGCCCAAGAAAUAGCAAAAAGACAAAAAAAAAAAAAAAAAAAAAAAAAAAAGAAAUAGUUUCUUUCUCUCUCUUUCUUUCUUCCUUCCUUUCUUUGCCUCCCUCCCCCCUCUUCCUUCCUUCCUUCUUUCUUUCUUUGCCACAUCUGCAGCAUAUAGAAGUUCCCAGGCUAGGGGUAGAAUCCCAGCUACAGCUGCCGGCCUACACCACAGCCACAGCAAUGCCAGAUCCUUACCUCUGGGCCACGAAGGGAACUCCAUUAGUUUCUUUUAGAGAACAAAGAAAAAGGGAGUUGAGGAAGUAAAAUAAAAAAUACCAUGAGUUUUGCGAAGUUGUCUUCAUUUCGGCCAGACUCCCAAACACAGGUGGGCUGGCUCAGAAUGUUUCCUCUGAGCUGAAAAAAGGUAUUUUAGUUUGACAUUCAGGCAUGGGGUGGGCAGGUUCCUGCAGAUGGGCCAGCGUAUAUAUUUUAGGCUACAGGCAACAUCCCUUUAGUGAUUAACUUGUCAUAAAAAGUUAAAGCGAAAGAUGACAUGUAAUAAAUAUGAAGUCAGAUUAGGUUUCUCCCUAUUUAAGGACCUGAUGUUAAAACCAGAUCGCAUGAUGAAAGGCCUGCAAACCUGAGGUAAGGCCAAGCAGGUGACUGACGUAAAAAAGGCCUGAGGUGGCACGACGUUGUGAAUCAACUAUACUUCAAUGAAGCUUUAAAAAAAGAAAAGAAAAACGUGGGGGCACUAACUUAAAGCAAGGUUGGACCUAAAGCAGGAUGAGGUAAAGAAGGAUCACGUGACAAAAAGUCUGGGGACGGUAACAUAAAACCGAAUCACGUGUCAUAGAGCCUGGGGAGCCCACAGAAAGCAGGGCCAGGUGACAUUCAAUUUGUGAACCGGAUGUAAACGAAGCCCGGAAAAGUGCCGUAAAGCAGGGUCAGGUGACGUAAAGACUGGGAAACUGCUGUGAGCCAGACUGGGAAAGGGCCAUAAAGCAGGGUUCCUGCGAGGUAAAGCGGGGAGCUGGGCUGCGGGUGAGGGUCCUGCUUUUGGCUGGGCACGUGAAGUAAAGUUGGGGUGAGGCUGGGCCUGUGGCGCAAAGCUGAGGACCAGAGGUAAAGCUGGGCAGGUGAGGUAAAGCUGGGGCACUUGACCUAGAGGGGGGUGGGGUGGGCGGAGAGGAAGGUCCUGCCUGGAGGCGUCCAAGGUGGGAAGAGCAUGUCCUGGAUUUGAUCUUAGUUUGAGUUUGGCUGCAUUCUCUUUGAUGCCUUGUGGAAACUUGUUGCAGGCGUCUAGGAUCUGUGUGUCUUUCCCAUUUUCUGGACACGGUGUGGGUGGGGGUGUCAGCGGGGUCCCUGACUCGCUCUUUCAUGCGUUCAUCAUCAGGAAGGUAUAGUCUUCAGUGCUUCCUCCUACUUGUAAACCCACCCCCCUUUCCAUACACACACCUUAUCCCCUUCUCCUGUGGUUGAGGGAGCCAGGUGGGACUCAGGCCUCCAAGACUCGCCCCCUCACCCCCACCCCCCGCAUCACACAGAAACUUUUCUGUCCCAUUUCAUGCCUUCUCUGUCACAGACGAUCAGAAGCUUCGUGAGGACAUUUGCUGUCUUCUCAUUAGCUACAUCACUGAUUCUGCGUGAGACCAGCCUUGAGGCAGGAAUCCCCAGCAAAGUUUUCUUCAUGUGGGCUACGUGACACAUGCCAGGCUCCUUGUCCUGCCUGAAUCCCUCUAACUGGUUCCCCUAUGUGGGUCUGGUCACACAUUGUCUCUCACAUAAGGUCUUCUGCUGUGCUCUACAGUGGGAGGUCCUUGAGGAUUCUUUACCUGCCUCAGUGGGCCCUGAGCUUCUGGAACGGAGCCCUGUGACCCACACUGUGUUCUUUUACAGGCUGUCUGGACUCAUUGUUCUGGUUCUAAUGUUGUACCGUGUGUUCCCUCAAAGUUAUCUGUAUUUCAAGUUACCUGAAUCUCAAUACUUGCCAUAUGGAUUCCUGGCAGGUGCUGCUUUUAUAGCAAAACUGAGCUUCAUGGUUGAUGACAGGUGGCAUGAACUUGCACCAGGAGCAGCCCCCAAAGCUGACCCUGCAGCUCCAGGACUAUGGCUUAUUUCCUCUCCAUGUUGCCUACGGCUCCUCCGUGUGCCUUGCUCUCUGCUUCUCUUCUCCCUCCCUGCCUUCCCUCACAGACUCUGCACGCCCCUCCCAAGUGCCCAUCACUGUUCCCAAUUCCUUUACCAUGUUCCCCGUACCCCCCUUUCUGAUUCCAUUGCUGUUGUCUGCAUGAUCUGUUUUUUUUCCCUGUUCCCUGCCACCUCCCUUUCAACACGUUUCCAUCUCUUGGCUCCAUGGAUUGACUAAGAUUCUGUUUCCUCUUCUCAAAUAGUCUCUUCUCUAUCUUUUAAUUUUUUGGCUGCACCCAUGGCAUAUGGAAGGUUUGGGGCCAGGGACUGAAUAGAGUCGCAGCUGGUAUAUAUUACUGCAGCUGCAGCAAUAUGGAAUCCUUUAACCCACUGCACCGGGCCAAAGAUCACACCUGCAUCUCUGCAGCGGCCUGAGCUGCUGCAGUUGGAUUCUUAAUUCACUGUGCCAUGGUGGGAACUCCUUGCUUCUCUUCUCUGAUUGGGGUAAACUGCCCUAAUGGAGAGCAGUUGGGGACUGACUUAGCUGUACUUUGAACUCUACUUUGUAGGUAGAUUUCAAAACAAACACAAGUUGCUGCUUUUCUGAAUUCCUGCCCCACGAGGAAGCCCCAUUUGCCCAAAAACAUUGAGUUCAAUCACUUGUCCAGGACUGGCUCCUACUGCCCUCUCUACCUGGUCUGUGUCAGUGAAACUACAUAAACGAGAGCCUCUUGCAUUUCACCCCACCUCACCCAGCUGGUGCGUUGUCCUAGUCUCCAGGCUCAUAAAACUCCCCCAAGCCCAUCAUCCCCAAAUACCUUAAGACUCCCAGGCCCACUAGUCAUUGCAAACACACCAUUCUUGCUAAUCCCACCAUUCCUCCUCCAGCUGUCGGAGCUCACUAAGCACCUGAAUUCUUAUCAGCCUUUGGGCAUUUGCUUUGUUUUGUGUCAUUUCACAGAGUAGUGCAUUUAGGAUGUUCACUCAUCAAUACAAUAGAAUAAAAGAAUAACC